UUUGUUUGUUUUUUUUUUGACAUUACACUCCUUCCUUUAAUUAGAUACUCAUGUGGCAUCCGUGUGCUGAGGAUGAUGAGGGAGAGGACAAUGGGCAACAGUGUGACCCAGCUGUACAAAAAGCUGCAGGAACAACAUAGCGAGGCAUGGAUGGAGGAUGUCCUGCAGUACCUGACAGCUUGCGAACCAUUCACAAGGUCCACUGUUGUCCACCCCUCCGUCUUUGCUGAGUCUCCCUGCUUACCUGCCCUACCCAAGCCCAAGUGGCUGUCAGCAGUUUAUGUCAGGGAUGUUCUCAGUCAGCUGCAUGAGGUGAAGGCCAAAAUCACCUCCAUCUUUGGCUCCGUCUACCAAAAAGGUAUCACAGCCCUGUUUUAUAUACAGAAUUUUGAGUGCAUACAUAAUAGGCGUCACCACUAAGGGUCACCCCCUGUAUGGCAUCUUCAUGGCAUGCCUGUCCACAUGCAUUGUUGCUGCUCUUUGCCGUGCCAAGGAAGGUGAGCUGGCAGCAAGAAGUGUUGGCGACAUCUCGGAGGAGGUGGUGACCACUCACAUCACCCAGAGGGAGUCGGCGCUGCACUGCAGGAGGAGGACCCGAGGGGUAGAGGAGACCAACAGACUGAUCAGGUCACUGACCAGUCUGUUUGACAGCGUGAGUGGGAAGGACACUCUGGGCGUUCCUCUGCUGGACCACGAACGGAUCCAGCAGAUAUGGAAGGAGCAGCAGAAACACCUUGGCUGUAUCCAAAACCCAGAAGACUUCCAGCUCUACAUCAAGACGGGCACCUUGAAGAAAGGCAACGUGGAGUUGUGCUGCUACAGGUGUGCCCGUGGCUCUACCUCCCUGGAGACCUUUCACCUCCACCUGAACAGAUUUAUUCCAGGAACCAGUGUCAGUUAUGCACAUUUCCAGGCGUAUCUUCUGGAAGGGCUGAUGCGCUGGAAUGAUGACUGGAUGGAGGACGCCGUAAAGGGAGCACCUUCCAUCCACUCCUACGGCAGUGCUCUUAGUGAGGCGGUGGACCAGCUAAGCCAAAAAGGUGCUAGGGAGAUGCUGGGAUGAGCGCUAUCGCACCUCUGGAGCGUACAUAGGUGAAUUGCUGAGAAUGGAGUACUUGUGCUUUUCAGGAGAUAAAGGGUCGUUAGCCUAAAAAUUGUUGGAUGAUAGAAAAGUACAGCAAGGUACUGCUCGCUGCUUAUCAUGGGUAUGUAACUGCGGUGCACGACUUCACGGCGAGCCGCAGGUGACCGGCGUACACAAUAUGGCAUAAUGAUACAGCAUCUAUUUGCUGGGGUGGGUUCGUUAUCCUCCAUAUAUCAGGUUGUUAUCACUCAUUACACUGUAAAUUGUUUGCCUGCUGGCAUGCUCUUUAUACACAUUUUGUGCAGAUAGAUCUGUUACUUAACACAACAUUGAAGUCUCCAAUCACUAGGCAUUCGUUGUUACACCAUAUUGGAAUUUUUUAAAGAUUUUCUUUUCUUUCUAGAUGUUAGUUGCGCACAGUUAUGAUUCUGUAUUUUUCCCCAUUUUUUUUUCUAAAUCCACCACCAUUCUUCCUGCAGGCUCCCGAUAAACACAGUAUUUUCAAAAUGCGCCUUCCCUGCACAGGAUCGCUACCCAGCAGGCAGAUGCCAAGCCAUGCGCACAGUGCACAGAUCCCUUCCAUUGCUUCCUAACCUUAUCCAUAAUGGUGUUGUCCCAUUUUGUUUCGUGUACACAAAAGAUAUCGCAUUUAACAGUUGUCCAAAUGCAGCUCAUUUUCUAAUUUUUUCCUGUCUUCCUGGGUUUUGCCUUUUCCUUAAUUGUUGGACUUGGAGGAUGUCUAUGUCUGAGCUGGCCAUCUGAGGAAUGAGCAGUGGCGAGGAUCUGCCGGAGGGAGGGAGACCUUGGGAGCGUCAGUCAUGAGGUCGGGCGCAGCUGCCGGAGAGGGCCUUGCAUUUGUGGCAGGGAGAUCGGCGGGUUCAGAGUCUUUACCAGGCCCUGUUCUCGCCUCAGUGUCCCUGCUUUGUCCCAACAAGAAUCCACUCAGGCAGCACUCAGGCUGAAGCUCAACCCUGAUGUGCGCAUUGUGCUUUCUCCAGCCAGCUGCUCCGCGCUGGUGCCUGACGCACGGGCUUCCUCAGCCACUGCAUCGGUAUACUCCAUCUCAUUUUCCCCCCCUCUUCGCCUCUGCUCUCAUUGCUCUCGCCCCCUUCCUGGCCUGCUUUGGACCCCCAUAGACACCCUCCUCAUCUUCACUGUUGUGGCUAUCACAGUUUUCCUGAUUACUAUGGCACAUCUCACACCUCCUCGCAUAAUGCCCUUGGACUCUGAAUUUACGGCAAGUAUUGAGGGCAUUUCCUGAGGAUAUGCCCAUUCUACAUACUUUCACCUGUCAUGUAACACUCUGAAAUGUUCUUGCCCUGUGGCCAUAUUGAAUCUCCCAGAGCAUGAGAGAGACAGUACCGUUUCAUUAAAUCUAAC